rnacentral:rRNA from 1 species
AGCAGCAGCCGCGGGAAUACGUAGGUCCCGAGCGUUGUCCGGAUUUAUUGGGCGUAAAGCGAGCGCAGGCGGUUAGAUAAGUCUGAAGUUAAAGGCUGUGGCUUAACCAUAGUACGCUUUGGAAACUGUUUAACUUGAGUGCAGGAGGGGAGAGUGGAAUUCCAUGUGUGGCGGUGAAAUGCGUAGAUAUAUGGAGGAACACCGGUGGCGAAAGCGGCUCUCUGGCUUGUAACUGACGCUGAGACUCGAAAGCGUGGGGAGCAAACAGGAUUAGAUACCCCUGUAGUCCCUGUCUCUUAUACC